GGUGGAUAGACUUCAGAAUCCUGUAUGUUGAGGAUGGAUUCUCAUAAACAAAAAGCACAGAUUCCUGUGAUCAGUAUUCAGCUCAAGGCUAGAUCCAGCCCAGAGAUGUGUUGAAACCAUGCCUGUUUUCUUCAUCAAAGAGUAAAUUAACCUGUGAAAUGGAAAGGGGAAGUCUGUGUUGAAGUUGGAAAGGAUGAACAUAUCAGGGCAUGCAACACAGUAAAACCACUUUCAAGGAUGAAAAUUGCCUCUUGUGAACAGAAGAGAAAAUAAGAAAUAGAGAACACACAACUGUCCUGGAUGAGGAACUGGAUGAAGGGUCUGAAAUGAACCUCACUUGGUGGAAGUUGCUGUUUUUCCUUUUAUAACAUCAUGCAGCUCC